GGGGAAUCUUAGACAAUGGGGGCAACCCUGAUCUAGCCAUGCCGCGUGAGUGAUGAAGGCCUUAGGGUUGUAAAGCUCUUUCAGCUGGGAAGAUAAUGACGGUACCAGCAGAAGAAGCCCCGGCUAACUCCGUGCCAGCAGCCGCGGUAAUACGGAGGGGGCUAGCGUUGUUCGGAAUUACUGGGCGUAAAGCGCACGUAGGCGGACCAGAAAGUUGGAGGUGAAAUCCCAGGGCUCAACCUUGGAACUGCCUUCAAAACUAUUGGUCUGGAGUUCGAGAGAGGUGAGUGGAAUUCCGAGUGUAGAGGUGAAAUUCGUAGAUAUUCGGAGGAACACCAGUGGCGAAGGCGGCUCACUGGCUCGAUACUGACGCUGAGGUGCGAAAGCGUGGGGAGCAAAC
rnacentral:rRNA from 1 species